UGGGGAAUCUUGCACAAUGGGGGCAACCCUGAUGCAGCGACGCCGCGUGAGCGAUGAAGCCCUUCGGGGCGUAAAGCUCUUUCGACCGGAACGAUAAUGACGGUACCGGGAGAAGAAGCUGCGGCUAACUACGUGCCAGCAGCCGCGGUAAUACGUAGGCAGCAAGCGUUGUUCGGAGUUACUGGGCGUAAAGAGUGCGUAGGCGGUUUUCUAAGUUCGGUGUGAAAUCUCCCGGCUUAACUGGGAGGGUGCGCCAAAGACUGGGAAGCUGGAGUGUGGGAAAGGCAGGCGGAAUUCCUGGUGUAGCGGUGAAAUGCGUAGAUAUCAGGAGGAACACCGGCGGUGUAGACGGCUUGCUAGACCAUAACUGACGCUGAGGCACGAAAGCGUGGGUAGCAAACA
rnacentral:rRNA from 1 species